UACGGGGGGGGCAAGCGUUGUUCGGAAUUACUGGGCGUAAAGGGCUCGUAGGCGGCCAACUAAGUCAGACGUGAAAUCCCCAGGCUCAACCUGGGAACUGCGUCUGAUACUGGAUGGCUUGAAUCCGGGAGAGGGAUGCAGAAUUCCAGGUGUAGCGGUGAAAUGCGUAGAUAUCUGGAGGAACACCGGUGGCGAAGGCGGCAUCCUGGACCAAUACUGACGCUGAGGAGCGAAAGCCAGGGGAGCAAACGGGG
rnacentral:rRNA from 1 species